rnacentral:rRNA from 1 species
GACGAACGCUGGCGGCGUGCUUAACACAUGCAAGUCGAACGGAAAGGCCCUGCUUUUGUGGGGUGCUCGAGUGGCGAACGGGUGAGUAACACGUGAGUAACCUGCCCUUGACUUUGGGAUAACUUCAGGAAACUGGGGCUAAUACCGGAUAGGAGCUCCUGCUGCAUGGUGGGGGUUGGAAAGUUUCGGCGGUUGGGGAUGGACUCGCGGCUUAUCAGCUUGUUGGUGGGGUAGUGGCUUACCAAGGCUUUGACGGGUAGCCGGCCUGAGAGGGUGACCGGGCACAUUGGGACUGCGAUACGGACCAGACUCCUACGGGAGGCAGCAGUGGGGAAUAUUGCACAAUGGGCGGAAGCCUGAUGCAGCAACGCCGGGUGCGGGAUGACGGCCUUCGGGUUGUAAACCGCUUUCGCCUGUGACGAAGCGUGAGUGACGGUAAUGGGUAAAGAAGCACCGGCUAACUACGUG